AGCAUAUCAAUAAGCGGAGGAAAAGAAACUAACAAGGAUUCCCUUAGUAACUGCGAGUGAAGCGGGAAAAGCUCAAAUUUAAAAUCUGGCGGUUUAACCGUCCGAGUUGUAAUCUAGAGAAGUGUUAUCCGCGCUGGACCGUGUACAAGUCUCCUGGAAUGGAGCGUCAUAGAGGGUGAGAAUCCCGUCUUUGACACGGACUGCCAGGGCUUUGUGAUGCGCUCUCAACGAGUCGAGUUGUUUGGGAAUGCAGCUCAAAAUGGGUGGUAAAUUCCAUCUAAAGCUAAAUAUUGGCGAGAGACCGAUAGCGAACAAGUACCGUGAGGGAAAGAUGAAAAGAACUUUGGAAAGAGAGUUAAACAGUACGUGAAAUUGCUGAAAGGGAAACGCUUGAAGUCAGUCGCGUUAGCCAGGGAUCAACCUUGCUCUUGCUGGGUGUACUUUCUGGUUAAUGGGUCAACAUCAAUUUUGAUUGUUGGAAAAAGGUCAAGGGAAUGUAGCAUCUUCGGAUGUGUUAUAGCCUUUGGUUGUAUACAACAGUUGGGAUUGAGGAACUCAGACGCCGAAAGGCCGGGUUUUUAACCACGUUCGUGCUUAGGAUGUUGGCAUAAUGGCUUUAAUCGACCCGUCUUGAAACACGGACCAAGGAGUCUAACAUGCCUGCGAGUGUUUGGGUGGAAAACUCGAGCGCGUAAUGAAAGUGAAAGUUGAGAUCCCUGUCGUGGGGAGCAUCGACGCCCGGACCAGAAAUUUAUGGACGGUUCCGCGGUAGAGCAUGUAUGUUGGGACCCGAAAGAUGGUGAACUAUGCCUGAAUAGGGUGAAGCCAGAGGAAACUCUGGUGGAGGCUCGUAGCGAUUCUGACGUGCAAAUCGAUCGUCAAAUUUGGGUAUAGGGGCGAAAGACUAAUCGAACCAUCUAGUAGCUGGUUCCUGC
rnacentral:rRNA from 1 species